GAGAUCCCUGCCCUUAGUUGCUGCAGUUACUCUCAGGAGUAGCUGGGCUAACUAAGGGGACCGCCMCUGYWRAAGKGGAGGAAGGAGGGGCCCCCGGCAGRUCAGUAUGCCCCGAAACCCUGGGGCUACACGCGGGCUGCAAUGAUAGAGACAACGGGUUCCGAACUCGAAAGAGGGAGGCAAUCCUUAAACUCUAUCUCAGUUAUGAUUGAGGGCUGCAACUCGCCCUCAUGAAUAUGGAAUCCCUAGUAACCGCGCGUCAUAACCGCGCAGUGAAUAC
rnacentral:rRNA from 1 species